UUAUUCUUGCAACAAGUAUACUAACAUUGGGACAAUACAGAGAAGAUUAGCCUGGCUCCUGCACAAGGAGGACAUGCCAAUUCAUGAAGAGUUCACACUUAUU